rnacentral:rRNA from 1 species
CUAGCUGUAAACGAUGGAUACUAGGCGUUGUGAGUAUCGACCCUCACAGUGUCGUAGCUAACGCGUUAAGUAUCCCGCCUGGGGAGUACGCGCGCAAGCGUGAAACUCAAAGGAAUUGACGGGGGCCCGCACAAGCGGUGGAGUAUGUGGUUUAAUUCGAUGCAACGCGAAGAACCUUACCAGGACUUGACAUGUCGCGAAUCUCAGGGAAACUUGAGAGUGCCUUCGGGAGCGCGAACACAGGUGGUGC